GAUGAACGCUGGCGGCGUGCCUAAUACAUGCAAGUCGAGCGAACGGACGAGAAGCCUGCUUCUCUGGUGUUAGCGGCGGACGGGUGAGUAACACGUGGAUAACCUACCUAUAAGACUGGGAUAACUUCGGGAAACCGGAGCUAAUACCGGAUAAUAUUUUGAACCGCAUGGUUCAAAAGUGAAAGACGGUCUUGCUGUCACUUAUAGAUGGAUCCGCGCUGCAUUAGCUAGUUGGUAAGGUAACGGCUUACCAAGGCAACGAUGCAUAGCCGACCUGAGAGGGUGAUCGGCCACACUGGAACUGAGACACGGUCCAGACUCCUACGGGAGGCAGCAGUAGGGAAUCUUCCGCAAUGGGCGAAAGCCUGACGGAGCAACGCCGCGUGAGUGAUGAAGGUCUUCGGAUCGUAAAACUCUGUUAUUAGGGAAGAACAUAUGUGUAAGUAACUGUGCACAUCUUGACGGUACCUAAUCAGAAAGCCACGGCUAACUACGUG
rnacentral:rRNA from 1 species